AGAGCGAACGCUGGCGGCAGGCCUAACACAUGCAAGUCGAGCGCCCCGCAAGGGGAGCGGCAGACGGGAGAGUAACACGUGGGAACGUACCCUUUGGUUCGGAACAACACAGGGAAACUUGUGCUAAUACCGGAUAAGCCCUUACGGGGAAAGAUUUAUUGCCAAAGGAUCGGCCCGCGUCUGAUUAGCUUGUUGGUGAGGUAACGGCUCACCAAGGCUACGAUCAGUAGCUGGUCUGAGAGGAUGAUCAGCCUCACUGGGACUGAGACACGGCCCAGACUCCUACGGGAGGCAGCAGUGGGGAAUAUUGGACAAUGGGCGCAAAGCCUGAUCCAGCCAUGCCGCGUGGAUGAUGAAGGCCCUAGGGUUGUAAAGUCCUUUCGACGGGGAAGAUAAAUGACGGUACCCGUAGAAGAAGCCCCGGCUAAACGUUCGUGCCAGCAGCCG
rnacentral:rRNA from 1 species